GCCUAGGUGGCUCAGUCGGUUAAGCACCUGACUUCGGCUCAGGUCAUGAUCUUAUAGUUCGUGAGUUCCAGCCUCGCAUCGGGCU
rfam:Felis catus isolate Cinnamon breed Abyssinian chromosome A2, whole genome shotgun sequence.